rnacentral:rRNA from 1 species
UACGGGGGGAGCAAGCGUUGUUCGGAUUUACUGGGCGUAAAGGGCGCGUAGGCGGCCACGACAAGUCACUUGUGAAAUCUCCGGGCUUAACUCGGAACGGUCAAGUGAUACUGUCGGGCUAGAGUGCAGAAGGGGCAACUGGAAUUCUCGGUGUAGCGGUGAAGUGCGUAGAUAUCGAGAGGAACACCUGCGGCGAAGGCGGGUUGCUGGGCUGACACUGACGCUGAGGCGCGAAAGCCAGGGGAGCGAACGGG